UCCGGUAUGGUCUAAUGGCUAUGAUUUCUGGCUCUCACCCAGGCGAUCCGGGUUCGAUUCCCGGUACCGGAA